rnacentral:rRNA from 1 species
UACGUAGGGCGCAAGCGUUGUCCGGAAUUAUUGGGCGUAAAGAGCUCGUAGGCGGCUUGUCGCGUCGUCCGUGAAACCCGGGGCUCAACCCGGGCUUGACGGUCGAUACGGGCAGGCUCGAGUUCGGUAGGGGAGACGUGGAAUUCCUGGUGUAGCGGUGAAAUGCGGCAGAUAUCAGGAGGAACACCGGUGGCGAAGGCGGGUCUCUGGGCCGAUACUGACGCUGAGGAGCGAAAGCGUGGGGAGCGAACAGGAUUAGAUACCGUAG